CACUCUUAUUGAUCCAUGUAUACCUGGUUUCUCUCGGCGUCACCGUGACUAGUUCAGAACUUUAUCAAUCAACGUGACGGUCAAGUUGUGCCAUUCUCCCUCCGCAUAUUUAACAUUAUCGUAAGUGACUUUUUUGGCGACUAGAACCGAGCAAUGAUGUGUAGACUUGAAUUGAUCGUGUCUUGUGUGAUUCUGUACUUGGUCACUUCCGGCGAAGCGCUGGAGUGUUACUCUUGUAAUGACGCUAUAAACUCGGGUGAUACAAGGCCAUGCAUGCUCCACGGAGUAUAAUGGCACAGAAGAAACGUGUUCGUCCGAGUACGUUGAUCCAUGUUGCGCGGUGGCCCGAUAUGAAAACGGAGAUACAACUACCUUUCUACGUGCAUGUGUGCCAGGCGUUUCAUGUGUUAGUGGGUGCGAAUCGG